GCCACUGGGGCAAUUUCUUUACCCCGAAACUACAACUAGGAUCCUGGUCAGGCUCAUGCAGAUCUGCAGAAGGAAGCAGGAAAAGUGGAUCCAGUGCUGUCCCAACUGAGCAGGAAGGACAUAGCUCUGAACGUAGACUCGAUGCUUUCAUUUUGGGGACAUUCCUGGCUCCUGUUAACCACCAUUCCAUUCUCUGCUUUUGACUAUAUCCUCCAUAAGUAGACAGAGGGAGAUGUGAAGCAAGGGGAUAUAGUAAUUAGGAUAUAUAUGGAUG